rnacentral:RNase_P_RNA from 1 species
AGGAAAGUCCGGGCUUCACAGGGCAGGAUGCCGGAUAACGUCCGGUGGAGGUGACUCCAAGGCCAGUGCAACAGAGAUAUACCGCCAGUCCUAGACUGGUAAGGGUGGAAAGGCGGUGUAAGAGACCACCGUCCCCCUGGUAACAGGGGGAGCCAUGUAAACCCCAUUCGAAGCAAGACCGCAUAGAAGCGUUGACGUUGCCCGCCAGCUUCAGGUAGGUCGCUAGAGGUCCGCGGUAACGCGGAUCCUGGAUAGAUGAUCACGCAACGACAUAACCCGGCUUAUCGUUUUGCUU